rnacentral:rRNA from 1 species
GGAGUCUGGGCCGUGUCUCAGUCCCAAUGUGGCCGUCCGCCCUCUCAGGCCGGCUACUGAUCGUCGCUUUGGUGGGCCGUUACCCCGCCAACUGGCUAAUCAGACGCAGAACCAUCUCAUACCGAUAAUUCUUUUCACACUGAAAGAUGCCUUCCUGUGCGCUUAUGCGGUAUUAGCAGGAAUUUCUUCCUGUUAUCCCCCUGUAUGAGGCAGGUUUUCCACGCGUUACUCACCCGUCCGCCACUAAGUACAAACAAGUUUGAUUCCGUGCAAGCACUUCUUCUCACAGCGUCUGUACCCCGUUCGACUUGCAUGUGUUAGGCACGCCGCCAGCGUUCAUC